rnacentral:rRNA from 1 species
GACGAACGCUGGCGGCGUGCCUAAUACAUGCAAGUUGAGCGCUGAAGGUUGGUACUUGUACCAACUGGAUGAGCAGCGAACGGGUGAGUAACGCGUGGGGAAUCUGCCUUUGAGCGGGGGCAACAUUUGGGAAACGAUGGUUAUACCGGAUUAAAACUUUAAACAACAGGUUUAAGGUUUAAAAGUUGAAAUUGAAUACCCAAAAGAUAACCCGCGUUGUAUUAGCUAGUUGGUGAGGUAAAGGGCCACCAAGGCGAUGAUACAUAGCCGACCUGAGAGGGUGAUCGGCCACAUUGGGACUGAGACACGGCCCAAACUCCUACGGGAGGCAGCAGUAGGGAAUCUUCGGCAAUGGACGAAAGUCUGACCGAGCAACGCCGCGUGAGUGAAGAAGGUUUUCGGAUCGUAAAACUCUGUUGGUAGAGAAGAACGUUGGUGAGAGUGGAAAGCUCAUCAAGUGACGGUAACUACCCAGAAAGGGACGGCUAACUACGUG